UACGGAGGGGGCUAGCGUUAUUCGGAAUUAUUGGGCGUAAAGGGCGCGUAGGCGGCCCGGUAAGUCAAAGGUGAAAUCCCUCGGCUCAACUGAGGAACUGCCUUUGAAACUGUCGGGCUUGAGGCCGGGAGGGGGUAGCGGAAUUCCCAGUGUAGCGGUGAAAUGCGUAGAUAUUGGGAGGAACACCAGUGGCGAAGGCGGCUACCUGGACCGGUACUGACGCUGAUGCGCGAAAGCGUGGGUAGCAAACAGG
rnacentral:rRNA from 1 species